AUUGAACGCUGGCGGCAGGCUUAACACAUGCAAGUCGAGCGGAGAGAGGUAGCUUGCUACCGAUCUUAGCGGCGGACGGGUGAGUAAUGCUUAGGAAUCUGCCUAUUAGUGGGGGACAACAUUUCGAAAGGAAUGCUAAUACCGCAUACGUCCUACGGUAGAAAGCAGGGGAGCUUCGGACCUUGCGUUAAUAGAUGAGCCUAAGUCGGAUUAGCUAGUUGGGGGGGUAAAGGUCUACCUAGGCGACGAUCUGGAGCGGGUCUGAGAGGAUGAUCCGCCACACUGGGACUGAGACACGGCCCAGACUCCUACGGGAGGCAGCAGUGGGGAAUAUUGGACAAUGGGCGCAAGCCUGAUCCAGCCAUGCCGCGUGUGUGAAGAAGGCCUUAUGGUUGUAAAGCACUUUAAGCGAGGAGGAGGCUACUUUAGUUAAUACCUAGAGAUAGUGGACGUUACUCGCAGAAUAAGCACCGGCUAACUCUGUGCCAGCCGCCGCAGUAAUAC
rnacentral:rRNA from 1 species